UUAAACUGAAGAGUUUGAUCCUGGCUCAGAUUGAACGCUGGCGGUAUGCUUAACACAUGCAAGUCGAACGGAAACGAUACUAGCUUGCUAGUAGGCGUCGAGUGGCGGACGGGUGAGUAACGCGUAGGAAUCUGCCUGAUAGUGGGGGAUAGCCCGAAGAAAUUCGGAUUAAUACCGCAUAAUCUAUUCGUAGUAAAGUGGGGGACUUUCGAGCCUCACGCUAUCAGAUGAGCCUGCGUAAGAUUAGCUAGUUGGUAGGGUAAAAGCCUACCAAGGCAACGAUCUUUAGCUGGUCUGAGAGGAUGAUCAGCCACAUCGGGACUGAGACACGGCCCGAACUCCUACGGGAGGCAGCAGUGGGGAAUAUUGGACAAUGGGGGCAACCCUGAUCCAGCAAUACCGCGUGUGUGAAGAAGGCCUGAGGGUUGUAAAGCACUUUCAAUUGUGAAGAAAAGUUAACGGUUAAUAACCGUUAGCCUUGACGUUAACUUUAGAAGAAGCACCGGCUAACUCCGUGCCAGCAGCCGCGGUAAUACGGAGGGUGCAAGCGUUAAUCGGAAUUACUGGGCGUAAAGCGUGCGUAGGCGGUUUAUUAAGUCAGAUGUGAAAGCCCCGGGCUUAACCUGGGAACUGCAUUUGAAACUGGUCAACUAGAGUAUGGUAGAGGAAAGUGGAAUUUCUGGUGUAGCGGUGAAAUGCGUAGAUAUCAGAAGGAACAUCAAUGGCGAAGGCAGCUUUCUGGACCAAUACUGACGCUGAGGUACGAAAGCGUGGGUAGCAAACAGGAUUAGAUACCCUGGUAGUCCACGCCGUAAACGAUGAUAACUAGCCGUUGGGGGGAUUUACCCUUUAGUGGCGAAGCUAACGCGUUAAGUUAUCCGCCUGGGGAGUACGGCCGCAAGGUUAAAACUCAAAGGAAUUGACGGGGACCCGCACAAGCGGUGGAGCAUGUGGUUUAAUUCGAUGCAACGCGAAGAACCUUACCUGGUCUUGACAUCCUGCGAACUUUCUAGAAAUAGAUUGGUGCCUUCGGGAACGCAGUGACAGGUGCUGCAUGGCUGUCGUCAGCUCGUGUCGUGAGAUGUUGGGUUAAGUCCCGUAACGAGCGCAACCCCUAUCCUUAUUUGCCAGCACGUCAUGGUGGGAACUAUAAGGAGACUGCCGGUGAUAAACCGGAGGAAGGCGGGGACGACGUCAAGUCAUCAUGGCCCUUACGACCAGGGCUACACACGUGCUACAAUGGGAAGGACAAAGAGCCGCGAAGCCGCGAGGUGUAGCUAAUCUCAGAAACCUUUUCGUAGUCCGGAUUGGAGUCUGCAACUCGACUCCAUGAAGUCGGAAUCGCUAGUAAUCGUAGAUCAGAAUGCUACGGUGAAUACGUUCCCGGGUCUUGUACACACCGCCCGUCAUACCAUGGGAGUGGGUUGCACCAGAAGUGGCUAGUCUAACUUAGUGAGGACGGUCACCACGGUGUGAUUCAUGACUGGGGUAAAGUCGUAACAAGGUAGCCCUACCGGAAGGUGGGGCUGGAUCACCUCCUUA
rnacentral:rRNA from 1 species